AAACCCAUUCCCCAGAUACCAUGAUCACAAAGGUGGUUUUCCCAGAGCGAGGUUUAUCCAUUGUACUCAGAAUGUGCUGACCGCUGUGAUUUCCCCAAAUGUGGGGAAAUCGCCGGCAUAAUUUCUAGCCGUGGGUGACUGUGUUCAUGCUCUCCCCUG